UGGGGAAUCAUGGUCAAUGGGCGAAAGCCUGAACCUGCGACGCCGCGUGAGAGAUGAAGGUCGUAAGAUCGUAAAACUCUUUUCAGGGAUCUUAAAGCACAGCUGUCAACAACAGCUGUUUGUGACUCUCCCUGGAAGAAGCCCCAGCCAACUACGUGCCAGCAGCUGCGGUAAUACGUAGGGGGCGAGCGUUAUUCGGAAUUACUGGGUGUAAAGGGUAUGUAGGCGGCCCUUCAAGUCGCGUGUCAAAGUCCAGUGCUCAACGCUGGGUGUGCACGCGAUACUGACGUGCGUGAGGGAUGGAGAGGUGUGCGGAAUUCCCGGUGUAGUGGUAAAAUACGUAGAGAUCGGGAGGAACACCAGCGGCGCAGGCGGUUCACUAGACAGUUUCUGACGCUAAGAUACGAAAGCGUGGGGAGCAAACA
rnacentral:rRNA from 1 species